GAACCAUUCUUAUAUGGAAAUGAAUCUUGUUCAACUGCACAUCUCAGCCCUGCACAUGCACUGUCCUCUUGUGUGCUAAGCAAGAUGGAGGCUCGAGUUGAGGCGCAUGAUGCCCACCUAAACUCCUCACGGAACAUUUCUGCUCUGUUGUCUAAUCAGUUUGGCAAAGAUGGGUCAGCACCGGCAUCUGGAGACAAUGAUGGCGAUGCUUACGUCUCUGGGGUGUCCAGCUCCAUGCCGCAGCAUUCUUCAAGAAAAGCUUCUUGGAGUGAACCUGCUGAUGAAUGCAAUGGAAUCAUGCACAAGCAGUGCCGUUCUAAAUGUUCAUUGAUAAAGAAGUUUUGCUGCUCUGAGUGUGAUUAUGCUUGCACC